UCCCUGGUGGCUCAGACAGUAAAGAAUCUGCCUGCAAUACAGGAGACCCAGGUUCAAUCCCUGGGUAGGGAA
rnacentral:tRNA from 1 species